GACGAACGCUGGCGGCGUGCUUAACACAUGCAAGUCGAACGGAAAGGCCCUGCUUUUGUGGGGUGCUCGAGUGGCGAACGGGUGAGUAACACGUGAGUAACCUGCCCUUGACUUUGGGAUAACUUCAGGAAACUGGGGCUAAUACCGGAUAGGAGCUCCUGCUGCAUGGUGGGGGUUGGAAAGUUUCGGCGGUUGGGGAUGGACUCGCGGCUUAUCAGCUUGUUGGUGGGGUAGUGGCUUACCAAGGCUUUGACGGGUAGCCGGCCUGAGAGGGUGACCGGCCACAUUGGGACUGAGAUACGACCCAGACUCCUACGGGAAGCAGCAGUGGGGAAUAUUGCACAAUGGGCGGAAGCCUGAUGCAGCAACGCCGCGUGCGGGAUGACGGCCUUCGGGUUGUAAACCACUUUCGCCUGUGACGAAGCGUGAGUGACGGUAAUGGGUAAAGAAGCAACGGCUAACUACGUG
rnacentral:rRNA from 1 species